rnacentral:rRNA from 1 species
UGCAGUCGACGCGAAAGUGGAGCAAUCCAUGAGUAGAGUGGCAAACGGGUGAGUAACGCGUGGGCGACCUACCUCAGAGUGGGGGAUAACCUUCCGAAAGGAGGGCUAAUACCGCAUGACAUACCGUGUUUGGAUACACGGAUAUCAAAGCCGGGGAUCGCAAGACCUGGCGCUUGGAGAGGGGCCCGCGUCCGAUUAGCCAGUUGGUGGGGUAACGGCUCACCAAGGCUCCGAUCGGUAUCCGGCCUGAGAGGGCGGACGGACACACUGGAACUGAGACACGGUCCAGACUCCUACGGGAGGCAGCAGUGGGGAAUUGUUCGCAAUGGGCGCAAGCCUGACGACGCAACGCCGCGUGGAGGAUGAAGACUUUCGGGUCGUAAACUCCUUUCGACCGAGAUGAAUUUCCCACGACCUAACACGUCGUGGGAGUGACAGUAUCGAGGGAAGAAGCCCCGGCUAACUCCGUGCCAGCAGCCGCGGUAAUACGGGGGGGGCAAGCGUUGUUCGGAAUUACUGGGCGUAAAGGGUUCGUAGGUGGCUAGCUAAGUCAGACGUGAAAUCCCUCAGCUUAACUGGGGAACUGCGUCUGAUACUGGCAAGCUUGAGUGCAGGAGAGGAACGCGGAAUUCCAGGUGUAGCGGUGAAAUGCGUAGAUAUCUGGAGGAACACCGGUGGCGAAGGCGGCGUUCUGGACUGCAACUGACACUGAGGAACGAAAGCCAGGGGAGCAAACGGGAUUAGAUACCCCGGUAGUCCUGGCCCUAAACGAUGAAUGCUUGGUGUGGCGGGUAUCGAUCCCUGCCGUGCCGAAGUUAACGCGUUAAGCAUUCCGCCUGGGGAGUACGGUCGCAAGGCUG